rnacentral:tRNA from 1 species
AAGUAGGAAGCAAAAAUUUGCAAUCAGUUUCGACCUGAUCUUAGAUAAUAAACUAUCCCCACUUU